AUGUCACCCUGUCUCAAUAACGCUGUUGUAAAUACAUACAUUAUAUACACUGUUAUAACUACAUACGUGAUAUACACUGUUAUAGAUACAUACGUUAUAUACACUGUUAUAGAUAUGUACGUUAUAUACACUGUUAUAGAUACAUACGUUAUAUACACUGUUAUAGAUAUGUACGUUAUAUACACUGUUAUAGAUACAUACGUUAUAUACACUGUUAUAGAUACAUACGUUAUAUACACUGUUAUAGAUAUGUACGUUAUAUACACUGUUAUAGAUACAUACGUUAUAUACACUGUUAUAACUACAUACGUGAUAUACACUGUUAUAAAUACGUACGUUAUAUACACUGUUAUAGAUAUGUACGUUAUAUACACUGUUAUAGAUACAUACGUUAUAUACACUGUUAUAGAUAUGUACGUUAUAUACACUGUUAUAGAUAUGUACGUUAUAUACACUGUUAUAGAUACAUACGUUAUAUACACUGUUAUAGAUAUGUACGUUAUAUACACUGUUAUAGAUACAUACGUUAUAUACACUGUUAUAACUACAUACGUGAUAUACACUGUUAUAAAUACAUACGUUAUAUACACUGUUAUAGAUACAUACGUUAUAUACACUGUUAUAGAUAUGUACGUUAUAUACACUGUUAUAGAUACAUACGUUAUAUACACUGUUAUAACUACAUACGUGAUAUACACUGUUAUAAAUACAUACGUUAUAUACACUGUUAUAGAUAUGUACGUUAUAUACACUGUUAUAGAUACAUACGUUAUAUACACUGUUAUAGAUAUGUACGUUAUAUACACUGUUAUAGAUAUGUACGUUAUAUACACUGUUAUAGAUACAUACGUUAUAUACACUGUUAUAGAUAUGUACGUUAUAUACACUGUUAUAGAUACAUACGUUAUAUACACUGUUAUAACUACAUACGUGAUAUACACUGUUAUAAAUACAUACGUUAUAUACACUGUUAUAGAUAUGUACGUUAUAUACACUGUUAUAGAUAUGUACGUUAUAUACACUGUUAUAGAUACAUAUGUUAUAUACACUGUUAUAGAUACAUACGUUAUAUACACUGUUAUAGAUACAUGCCUUCUAACCAGCUGCCCAGGAUGCACGCAGUGGACGCCCUCCUCCCCCUCUUCCUCCCCUUGCAGGAAGACGGAAGGGAAGUUGUUGGUGCUCCCGCCCUGUCCUCACCCACUGACACCUGGAACAGCUCAGUGUUUUGAUGAGAAAAGUUUUCUCCAAUUGCAGAAAGCCCCACAGCCGCACCUCAGCAACCCCCCGCUGUAUGCAGAUACCAUUCACACUGGCCAAACCCAUUUUAGAGACUGUCUUUCCACAUGGUUUAAUGAGACAUUUAAGACAUAA
rnacentral:lncRNA from 1 species